CAGCCGCCACGGUAAUACGAAGGGUGCAAGCGUUACUCGGAAUUACUGGGCGUAAAGCGUGCGUAGGUGGUGGUUUAAGUCCGUUGUGAAAGCCCCGGGCUCAACCUGGGAAUUGCAGUGGAUACUGGAUCACUAGAGUGUGGUAGAGGAUAGUGGAAUUUCCGGUGUAGCAGUGAAAUGCGUAGAGAUCGGAAGGAACAUCUGUGGCGAAGGCGACUAUCUGGGCCAACACUGACACUGAGACACGAAAGCGUGGGGAGCAAACAGGAUUAGAGACCCCCGUAGUCCCUGUCUCUUAUAA
rnacentral:rRNA from 1 species